GGGGGUAUAGCUCAGUGGUAGAGCAUUCGACUUCAGAUUGUGAGGUUCCCGAUUCAAAUCCUGGUGCCCCCU